UGAAGAAGCUGAGAGGGUAGGGUGACAAUGAGGAGGAACACUGACCUGCAUGAAGAGAAGCAUUGCUGGAGGCAAGGGUAUUUAUGUCAGUGUUCUCAGCGGGGGUUAUACAAUGACCCCACAAAAACAGCCCAUGCUUUAAGACCCUUUCAGAACAGAAGUCUAGCAAAUUGCAUCCUGUAUGCUAAGAAACAUGGAACAGAGUAAAGUCAUGGACCAGGGAUAAGCACGGCAAGUUCUGGAGCUACCCGUAACAAGGCGCAACUCAAGCAGUGAUGUGGAGACGAGUGCAUGAAGAAAUUAAGUGCUGGAUUAUGAAAUUCUUCACAGAAUUUCCUUAAGGAGUUUGCUUUUGUCUUAGCCAGCUGAGAGUCUGUCCAGGGGAGAACCGAAACCAGAGAAGCUUCUUUUCUUCUUUGUUUCAAUCACAUCAUUCUCCAGAGAUACAAGUUCAUCAAGAAGUAAGAGUUUUGCUGCCAGAUCAGUGGCUGAUUUCUCUUCCCUGACUGUGGGUGGCGACUGAACACCCGUGACUCCAGAAUCAAAGGCCUAGCGGGUGGGAAGGGUGAUCCCGUUCAUUAAGAGAAAGAAAAUCUGUACGAUCAACUGCAUUUGGCUUUUGCUAUUUUUGGCUGACAUGCCUAUCAUGACACUUGACUUCUCAUGGAGUUAUGCUCCAGAGGGAAAGACUUUGGGAGACAAAAACACAUAGAGAUGAAGUAUAUCCAGAGGAAAUUAAAAGAAAACAAAACACACACACACACACACACACACACACACACACACACAAAGAAAAAAAAAAAGCAUGUACUCCAGGCCUGCCUCUCCAA